rnacentral:rRNA from 1 species
GUGGGGAAUAUUGGACAAUGGGCGAAAGCCUGAUCCAGCCAUGCCGCGUGUGUGAAGAAGGUCUUCGGAUUGUAAAGCACUUUAAGUUGGGAGGAAGGGCAGUAAGUUAAUACCUUGCUGUUUUGACGUUACCGACAGAAUAAGCACCGGCUAACUUCGUGCCAGCAGCCGCGGUAAUACGAAGGGUGCAAGCGUUAAUCGGAAUUACUGGGCGUAAAGCGCGCGUAGGUGGUUUUGUAAGUUGGAGGUGAAAUCCCCGGGCUCAACCUGGGAACUGCCUCCAAAACUGCAUGACUAGAGUACGGUAGAGGGUAGUGGAAUGUCCUGUGUAGCGGUGAAAUGCGUAGAUAUAGGAAGGAACACCAGUGGCGAAGGCGACUACCUGGACUGAUACUGACACUGAGGUGCGAAAGCGUGGGGAGCAAACAGGAUUAGAAACCCUGGUAGUCC